AGCGGGUGAAAAGCCCGCUCGCCGGAAGACCAAGGGUUCCUGUCCAACGUUAAUCGGGGCAGGGUGAGUCGACCCCUAAGGCGAGGCCGAAAGGCGUAGUCGAUGGGAAACGGGUUAAUAUUCCCGUACUUGGUGUUACUGCGAAGGGGGGACGGAGAAGGCUAUGUUGGCCGGGCGACGGUUGUCCCGGUUUAAGCGUGUAGGUGUGUGUUCCAGGUAAAUCCGGUUCACUUUAACACUGAGGCGUGACGACGAGGCACUACGGUGCUGAAGCAACAAAUGCCCUGCUUCCAGGAAAAGCCUCUAAGCAUCAGGUAACAUCAAAUCGUACCCCAAACCGACACAGGUGGUCAGGUAGAGAAUACCAAGGCGCUUGAGAGAACUCGGGUGAAGGAACUAGGCAAAAUGGUGCCGUAACUUCGGGAGAAGGCACGCUGACACGUAGGUGAAGUGAUUUACUCAUGGAGCUGAAGUCAGUCGAAGAUACCAGCUGGCUGCAACUGUUUAUUAAAAACACAGCACUGUGCAAACACGAAAGUGGACGUAUACGGUGUGACGCCUGCCCGGUGCCGGAAGGUUAAUUGAUGGGGUCAGCGCAAGCGAAGCUCCUGAUCGAAGCCCCGGUAAACGGCGGCCGUAACUAUAACGGUCCUAAGGUAGCGAAAUUCCUUGUCGGGUAAGUUCCGACCUGCACGAAUGGCGUAAUGAUGGCCAGGCUGUCUCCACCCGAGACUCAGUGAAAUUGAACUCGCUGUGAAGAUGCAGUGUACCCGCGGCAAGACGGAAAGACCCCGUGAACCUUUACUAUAGCUUGACACUGAACAUUGAGCCUUGAUGUGUAGGAUAGGUGGGAGGCUUUGAAGYGUGGACGCCAGUCUGCRUGGAGCCGACCUUGAAAUACCACCCUUUAAUGUUUGAUGUUCUAACGUGGACCCGUWAYCCGGGUUGCGGACAGUGUCUGGUGGGUAGUUUGACUGGGGCGGUCUCCUCCUAAAGAGUAACGGAGGAGCACGAAGGUUGGCUAAUCCUGGUCGGACAUCAGGAGGUUAGUGCAAUGGCAUAAGCCAGCUUGACUGCGAGCGUGACGGCGCGAGCAGGUGCGAAAGCAGGUCAUAGUGAUCCGGUGGUUCUGAAUGGAAGGGCCAUCGCUCAACGGAUAAAAGGUACUCCGGGGAUAACAGGCUGAUACCGCCCAAGGGUUGUCAUGCCAAUGGCACUGCCCGGUAGCUAAAUGCGGAAGAGAUAAGUGCUGAAAGCAUCUAAGCACGAAACUUGCCCCGAGAUGAGUUCUCCCUGAGACUUAGAGUCUCCUGAAGGAACGUUGAAGACGACGACGUUGAUAGGCCGGGUGUGUAAGCGCAGCGAUGCGUUGAGCUAACCGGUACUAAUGAACCGUGAGGCUUAACCUUACAACGCCGAAG
rnacentral:rRNA from 1 species